GGGCCACGCGGGGGCGGGGACCAGGGGGCGUCUCCCCGGCCGGCGGGAGCCGCUCGGCCCCCGGGGGGCUGCUCAGCGCCGGUGUGAGCCGCGGAGCUCUGCCCUUGGACCCUGAGCGCGGCCAGGGGAGAGGGAGCGCGGCGCGCGCCAACCGCCACCUUGCGCCCUCACGGUCCCUGGCCCGGCUCUCCGCAGCGCAACCGCGUGAGACGGCGAGACGCACUCCAGCCCGCCGCCGGCCGCCGGCCGCCGCGCUCGCGCCUCUGCCUGGAGCUCUGCCGCCUCGGGGUUGUCCCCGGGGACCGCGCGCGCGACCUCGCGCGCUCCUGCCAAGCGGGCCGGACGGAGCGCGCCCCGGGGCGUCCGCGCGCAUCGCCAGGGCGAAGUGAGUGGGGCUUGGCACCUUCCGGCGUCUGGAGCCCGGCCAGCGCCACUCUCGUCCGAAGGGCCCGACCCGGCGGGGGAAAAGUCCGGAACCUCCCCCACUUCGGUGGGACGUCUAACCUCCGGUCUUACAUGACCAGGCCCGAGGGCUCUCCACACUGGCAGUUCCGGCUGCUGAUUUCAGGGGACUCCGGAAGCAGCCAGUGGGACCGCCGUGGUUUCUCUUCAUUUUUCCCGCUACGAUCCCGGGAGCGCAAAGACAAAACCAUGUAUAUGUUGUAUUCUUGUUAUGUAUGGGCGAGAUCUCAGUAGAAAUGUAAAGGAUGAAAAGGAGAGAGUUCGCUGACAUCGCGCCGCCACCAUCACUGCCUGUGUAGUUCCGUUCGCUGUCCCGGCGCCCGUGUGCGCCAGUUCACCUGCACACGCCAGCUCACAGCUGAGGCCGCGGGCAUCUGCGCUGAGGAGCCACGCUCAAGGUGCAGCUUAAUGUCCUGGCCCGCGAGUUGGAGGUCUGGGGAGGCACCCGGUGCCACAGAAACAUCUAGGAGCUGGGCAGAGCUCGUGGAGAGUGGUUAUCCAGAAGAUCCUUAUCGUGCGUUGGGCGCACUAGCUUUCCAAAUCCUGACAUCGGCCGCCCGGAGGAAGCAAAGAAAAAGCAUCCCUUGGGUGCCUUGGAAGCCAGAGCGAAGGCCAGAGUGUCCCGUGGCCUGGAAAGAAGUUUGCUGGGGGUCUCAAAGCCCACGCGUCCUCCUCCCACAGCCACGUGAAGGAACAUUCUGGGGAUGCGUUCUCUGGAACGUGGCAACUAACGGAAUUCCCUGAAAAAUGGUUUCUUCUCUCCCCAGACUGAAGAAUGACAGAGAUCCCCAGCUGGGGUUGCAGCCAUUUAAGAAACUGUAGCACUCUUGCUUUUGUGCCCUCCCCAGCCCCACCCCGCCAGGGAGCGCUUCACCGUUACCAAAGUGAGAAAAAAGGCUGGAUUAAAAAACUGAGGCUCAAAGAAGUUCAGCCACCUGACCAGCUAUUAAGUGGUGGUGCUGUAGAUUGAACCCCAGUCUUCAUCACCCCUAGGAUCGGACUUUUAACUACUCUGUAUGGUGGCAUGGUGCAUCUUGGUAUUAUGGGCUUUUGAGACCAGAAGUUUCUCUGCUAAAUCCUGGCUGGAUAUCUCUGAUAUCUGUCUCCAAUCUCUCUCUCUUUCAUCUCCCAUCUCUCCACAUGACCUGGAUUCUCUUUUCCAUCCCCCUGAGGUAAACCAGAGGUUUAUGUAUUUUGUUGUGUUUUUCAAAGAACCAGCAUUUGGAUAUGUUUACCAUUUCUGCUGUUUUCUUCUACUUUUUAGUAGAAAAAACACAUCAGUGAAUUUUUGCCACAUCAGCGAAUUGAUGAGGAUCCGGGGGUCUGGGGCCCUGCUAGGACAUCCCCUCCGAAGUAAAAGACGAAAUAUUGUGUCUCGCGUCAUCUACCACCAAAAUGAAACACAACCUUUGCUUGCCCUCUUUGAGUCCUGGAGGCAGCAUAUUUAUUUUACACUUGGGAUACUGCUCUGAUCCAGUCAUGUAUCAGGUGACACAUAAGGCUGCCAGUUGUGUUAUGUUUUUUGUUUUCAAGUAAUCUCUAUACCCAGAGUGGGGCUCGAACACGUGACCCCGAGAUCAAGAGCCGCGCGCUCUACGGACUAAGCCCAGCCAGGCGCCCCAAGGCUGCCGGUGUUGAACAAGGCACUGAGACCAGGGGAGGACUCUGCAGUAGGUCCGGGCUGUGGGGCAGGUCACCCUGUUGCUUGGGUCACAUGACACAGGAGACCCUAUGGUGCUAGAGGGGUUUGUGGAAGGAAAACAUACCGUGCAGAAUUUAUUAUAAGCCGCAGUAGGAGAAUCGCAGUAGACACACGUGAAUUCUGGAGCAAGCCAUGGCAUGUACCGCAGAGAAGUACAUACCAUGUGAAAAAUAGCCAGGCCCUGCUAGAGGCAGAACCUCUGAUCCUGCUGACCGUGGGAUAUCAAGUGACUACGUGGCAGAAAUGCUCUAUUAUAUUUCUACUCAUGUGUAACGAAUUAUCACAAAUGUAACAGCUUAAGGGAACACAAAUUUAUUACCUCAUAAAUACAUAGGUCAGAAGUCCAGCGUGGCUCAGAUGGGUUCCCCUCUUAGGGUAUCAUAAGGCCAAAAUCAAGAUGUUAGCCAGGCUGAGUUCUUUUUUUUUUUUUUUUUUUUUUCUUUUUGAGGGAGAGAUAGAGAGAGAGAGAGAGAGAGAGAGAGAGAGAGAGAGAGAGAGAGAGAACAGGGGAAGGGCAGAAAGAGAAUCUUAAGCAGAUUUCACACCCAGUGUGGAACCCAACCCACGCCGGGCUUGACCUUAAGACCUUGAGAUCACGACCUGAGCUGAAGUCAAGAGUUGGCUACUCAGCUGACUGAGUCACCUACGCGCCCCCAGGCUGUUCUUAUCUGAAUUCAGGCUGUUGACCAAGUUCAGUUCUUUGUGGUUGUAGGGCUGGUUUGUUUCUUUAACAUUUUUUUAACAUUUACUUUUUAAAUAAAAUCUUUAAAGGUUUAUUUUCAAUUGAGAGAGAAUAUGAGC